GGGAGGGAGAGAUCUUUAUAUAUGAAGUUGAUAACAAUCAUUUCAAACAAUGAAAAGAAGAGGAGAAUCAUCUUCUUUUGAGAAAACCAUGCAUCAUUACAAUAAAAUAAAGUCUUUAAAAACAAAAGGGAAAUAUUGGGUAGUAGAUUUCUUCCCCACAUGGCUACAAAAGUAUAUAUUGUAGAUCAAAGCACCACAAGUACAAUGAUAUACUUCUUAUGGGAAGCCUCAAAAAUUGCCAAAGGGGUCACACAUUGCUUUAACUGAUGAACAUGGGCUUUAAACCAUGUUUACACCUCAAGAACCUAACACCCAAAAGAAAUAAUAAAAAGAAAAAAAGUAGUAACAUUCUUUAAUUAAUAUUGUCUCUCUUGGUUGCUGCAAUUCCUGAAAGUGAUAAAGCAAUUUAAAAUUAUGCAAUGUUCACCAACUAAGAUGAGUAAUAAGUAUAUAAUAAAGCUGAUCAGUAAUAAGUAUUCCAUACCCAGUAAUGGAGAAAACAUUAAACGUGUCUAGUAUGAAGUUCUGUUACUAAGGUCUCUAGGGGCAUUGCAUUUGAAACACUCCAUUCUGCUUGCAAAGUUGUGUUCAUUGCAUCCCCACCUGUCCACAUGAAUUGUGCAGCAGAGGGUUAUUAUAAAUUUUACUGCACAAACACUCCAAGAAAGAGAUUCUGAAAGUGUCUCUCACAUGCAAAAGUAGUCAAAACUAGAGUUCGAUACUUGGUAGAGCUUUUAGCACUUAUUGUAGAUGGGAAAUUCUUGACUAAAUUCGGUCUGUUAUGGACCCAAAGAAAAUAUGCAUAAUGGGAUCACAUAUUUGUGUCCGGACUGUAAAUUUUUUCUAUAUAGUAUCUUUUAUGAAGGAAAGUGGCUAUACAGCCAAAAGGAAAAGUUACUGUUGCAUUAAAGCUGGCAAUUGCAAUUGCACUAGCAGGCAUAGGUUGGUGGUAAUUGAUUCGCAGAAGAAAAAAUUUAGAUACCUGGUGCAGAUCCAAUCGCCAGAUUUCCAACCAGAACGAUUGCUGCCACUGCCAAUGCCUCUAGAGCGAGGAAUGUCAGAGUCGAAGCCACCACCAGAAUCAUCUUUGUACACACCACAUUUGAAGCAACUUGAGCGGCUUGCAAAGUUGUGGGCUCCACAGUUGCCGGCAGUGCAGUACCAAUCCCCGGGACGAACAUCUGACCCCGUGAAUCCAAAUGAUGACCCACCUGAAGAUCUCCCACCAAAACCUCCAAGGUCACCUCCAGACCUUGAGUCCCCACAGCGCUGGCACGACUCACGUCUCUGAAAGUUCAGGUGCUGGCAUGACCUGCAGUUCCAGUCUCCUGGCCUACUCAUACUCUCUUUGAAGUAGAAAGACUGAAAGGGAUUCAGAAAGAGUUGAAGGUGAUGAAGCCAAGAAUAGAAAAAUCAAGAAAAUGGUGGUCCCCA
rnacentral:misc_RNA from 1 species